AGCGCCGUAGCUUAGAGGCAAGAGCACACGGUUUGGAACCGUGGGGGCGUCAGUUCGAAUCUGACCGGUGCUA
rnacentral:tRNA from 1 species